rnacentral:rRNA from 1 species
UAGGGAAUCUUCGGCAAUGGGCGAAAGCCUGACCGAGCAACGCCGCGUGAGCGAUGAAGGCCUUCGGGUCGUAAAGCUCUGUUGUUAGAGAAGAACAAGUACGAGAGUAACUGCUCGUACCUUGACGGUACCUAACCAGAAAGCCACGGCUAACUACGUGCCAGCAGCCGCGGUAAUACGUAGGUGGCAAGCGUUAUCCGGAAUUAUUGGGCGUAAAGGGUGUCGAGGCGGUUGUAUUAGUCGUUCGUAAAAUCUCAGGGCUUAACUCUGAAAUCGCGGGCGAAACGGUACGACUCGAGAGCGUGAGAGGUGAAUGGAACUCAUGGUGUAGGGGUGAAAUCCGUUGAUAUCAUGGGGAACACCGAAAGCGAAAGCAAUUCACUGGCACGUUUCUGACACUCAAGCACGAAAGCGUGGGUAGCGAACGGGAUUAGAUACCCGCGUAGUCCCUGAGCGGGCUGGCAAGGCGCAU